GAUGAACGCUGGCGGCGUGCCUAAUACAUGCAAGUCGAGCGAACAGACGAGGAGCUUGCUCCUCUGACGUUAGCGGCGGACGGGUGAGUAACACGUGGAUAACCUACCUAUAAGACUGGGAUAACUUCGGGAAACCGGAGCUAAUACCGGAUAAUAUAUUGAACCGCAUGGUUCAAUAGUGAAAGACGGUUUUGCUGUCACUUAUAGAUGGAUCCGCGCCGCAUUAGCUAGUUGGGAAGGUAACGGCUUACCAAGGCAACGAUGCGUAGCCGACCUGAGAGGGUGAUCGGCCACCCUGGAACUGAGACACGGUCCAGACUCCUACGGGAGGCAGCAGUAGGGAAUCUUCCGCAAUGGGCGAAAGCUUGACGGAGCAACGCCGCGUGAGUGAUGAAGGUCUUCGGAUCGUAAAACUCUGUUAUUAGGGAAGAACAAAUGUGUAAGUAACUAUGCACGUCUUGACGGUACCUAAUCAGAAAGCCACGGCUAACUACGUG
rnacentral:rRNA from 1 species